GCCACAACAAUGCAUUUCAGCAAUGUUACCUUAAACUAGACAGAAAUAAUGUCAUUGAUAGUAGCUUGCCUAAAUUCUAAGACAGCCACAGCAGCAAACAAAUGGAAGCUACAGGAGAGUUAGGAUUUUUGGGUCCCACUGGCGUGAUGUCACAGUGGCUAAGGCAGGGAUGUACUGUGACCUGAAUUUGAGGCCAAAUCAACAGAGAGGACAACAACAGAAAGCAAACACAGCCUCAGGUAGGAUAGGUGGCAGGGUGUGUCUGCGGGCCUUGGCCCUGCCAUGCCUGGUCUCUGAGCCCAUGGUGCGAACGCUCUCCUGGUCUGAGUCCACGUCCUGCAGCAGGCCACGACCUCGGCUGGGUAGGCUGAUCUUGGGCAGGGAAGCCUCCUGGAGACAGCAAAUGGUAGAGGAGGAAGGAUAAGUUUACAUAUUAUAAUUGUGUGUGAUCUCGAUUUCAAUCUUAAUCCCGUUCUCUAUCUGAGUCCAGUGAUCUUGUCCAGGGCUGUUCAUGUGUGUGUGUGCAUGUGUGUGGUGUGUGUGUGUAUCUGUUGCCUACCUUGAGUGUGCAUCCAGUGACCUUGUCCAGGGCCAUGGCUCUGUCCAGGUUCCUCUCGUCCAGCUCUCUCAUGUACAUCCCAUACAGCUCCUGAAGGUGGGGGGGCACCAGAAGGCUGUGGUCUGCAGCAACACAACACAGGUUAGAAUACUAGUCACACUACAACACAACAUCAACCAUGUUAGAGUAGUCAUACUACAACACUAAACAUACAACUACGGAAGAGUAUUACAGCCAAGUAAAAAGAAAACAGAAAUAAACAGCGACAGGUGGUGGGAGUUGGAUUAUUAUUUUUUUGCACAAUAGUAUUUAAAGUGGCAAUAUUUUGAGAAUAAACUUGAAAUGUAAUCAUGAGAAUAAAGCCAACAUUUUUUGAAUAAAGUCACAGUUAUAUUUCAAGAUUAAUGUAGGAGAUUUGGUUAAGUACAUGUCUCACUGGCUCCCUGUUGAUGUGCACUCCACUGUUGAAAUGUCUGAGUUAGAUGACAUGGUGAAACUAUACUUUAGCUUUGGCUUUAGUAAGAAGGAAAUCCUUGCACUUAG